rnacentral:rRNA from 1 species
UACGGGGGGGGGCAAGUGUUAUUCGUAAGGAUUGGGCGUAAAGGGUUUGUAGGCGGUUUAUUAAGUUAGUUGUUAAAUAAAUAAUGCAAUUACAACUGAUAAGCUAGAGUUUAACAGAGGAUAAUGGUACUCUUGAUGGAAAGGUUAAAUCUCGAGAGAUCAAUGGGGACCACCAGUGGCGAAGGCGAUUAUCUGGGUUACAACUGACGCUGAGAGACGAAAGCACGGGGGAGCAAACAGG